GAUGGACGCUGGCGGCGUGCUUAACACAUGCAAGUCGAACGAAGCACCUUUGAUUGAUUCUUCGGAAGAGAGAGAUUGUGACUGAGUGGCGGACGGGUGAGUAACGCGUGGGUAACCUGCCUCAUACAGGGGGAUAACAGUUAGAAAUGACUGCUAAUACCGCAUAAGCGCACGGUAUCGCAUGAUACAGUGUGAAAAACUCCGGUGGUAUGAGAUGGACCCGCGCCUGAUUAGCUAGUUGGUAGGGUAACGGCCUCCCAAGGCAACGAUCAGUAGCCGGCCUGAGAGGGUGAACGGCCACAUUGGGACUGAGACACGGCCCAA
rnacentral:rRNA from 1 species